AAAUAAGAAGCGAUUAAUUUGCACCCAGUUUCGACCUGGAACUUGAUGAUUAUUCAUCCUUAUUUG
rnacentral:tRNA from 1 species